GUGUGUGUGUGUGUGUGUGUGUGUGUGUAGGGCUAUGCGUGGCUGAAGGAGCGUCUCCACAGCGAUGAGGGGAAGAAGCAGCUCAGUAAGAUCAAAGAGCUCCACCUGCUGGCUGACAAACUGAACUGCACUGCUGCUCAGCUCGCUAUAGCAUGGUGUCUCCGUAGUGAAGGCGUCAGCUCGGUUCUUCUCGGAGUCUCCAACACAGAACAGCUGCUGGAGAACCUCGGUUCUAUCAGGGUUCUGUCUCAGCUGACUCCGCCCCUCAUCGCAGAGAUGGACACGUUGCUAGGCAACAAACCACGAAACGGCAAGAAGGAGGCAAGGAGUUGAGGAGCCGAGGAGGAAGAAACUAAAGAAUGUAUCAAUCAGAAAGUAGCUUCUACUUUAUAAUAACCAUCAUAAAUAAAUGGUACAUUUAUAGUUAAUCAAACUUCACUUAUUUUACUUUGAAAUGAUGAAUAAAAAUGUUUAUUGAUUAAUAGGAAUCAUUUAAUACUCAUUAUUGUAUCAUUAGGUUGUUUACUUUAUAACUGUAUAUCGUAUCAUAGCGGAUAAGAGACGAUAACAAUUUUAUCCUAAAUAUAUUAGUAAAUUAUUUAUUAACAGUUUAUUGUUGCACACAUUAUAGUACUUGAUAUACUAUACUCAGUAUUCUUUAACGAUUAUCAAAUAAUUUGUAAAACAUCUAUGAAUAUUACAUAGAUAGAUGGAACAGACGGCAAUUAUUAUCCAUUAACAAAGUAUUAACAAUUGAAAUGUUUAUAGAUGCUUUACAAAGUAUGUAUUAACAUUUAACAAAGUAUUAAUUCAAAUGUUUAUAGAUGCUUUACAAAGUAUUUAUUAACAUUUAACAAAGUAUUAACAAUUCAAAUAAUGUUUAUAGAUGCUUUACAAAGUAUUUAUUAACAUUUAACAAAGUAUUAACAAUUCAAAUAAUGUUUAUAGAUGCUUUACAAAGUAUGUAUUAACAUUUCAAAUAAUGUUUAUAGAUACUUUACAAAGUAUUAACAAAUAUCUGACCCAUCCAUCUUUAUGUUCAUAAAUGUUUUACAAAUCAUUUGGUAUUGAUUAGUGAAUUCUGAAUAUAGUAUAUAAAAUGUUAUGAUGUAUGAAACAGUUAAAAUAAGAGUAAUUAUAGAUCAAUAAUGAUCAUUUCAUUGUUUAUUAACAUUAUGAUAACUGUUAAUAAAAGUUUAAUUAACUAUAAAUGUACCAUUCAUUGAUGAUGGUUAUUAUAAAGUGUUAACGAAAGGACACAAGGAAGGACAUUAAGGAAACAAGGAAGGAGUGAAGGGAAGGACACUAAACGAAAGGACACGUGGAUCAAUAAACAGUAUUAUUCUUUGGGACCUGAGAUGGACAGAUUCCUGCAGAUGAUCUGAAAUAUAUCAGAAAUAUUUAUUCUUAUUUUAAUAAGCAUAUUGGUGCAGAGCCUCGUGUCGGAGAGCUUGAAGACAGUUUGAUACAAUAAUCUAUAAUUCAUAUGAAGAAAUUAAGAAUUAAAUGAAGUAAAAGAAAGAGAACUAAAUAUUAUUCCUCCAGUUUGUAUUUAUUUAAAGUUUCUUACGUGACAGAAAGGUGUUUUAUUGUGGAAGUCGGUCAGCUGAUUUCCACCAUGAAGGAAAAAAAGAUGAAAGAAGAAAUAUAUUAAUAUAUUAAUGUAUUAAUGUCAUCGUGAUUUAAAAAGAGUGCUCACGUUAUAACGACGUAUUUCCUCAUUACUGUACAUCCCAAAUGUUCCUUUUAUUCUACAAAAUCAAUCAUAACAAUGAAAUCAAAAGAAGAAACGUUCACGUGGAAAACACCUGAAGACUUUAUGGAUAAAUGUGAGUUAUUAAGUCAAGACUUUGAAUUUUAAUCAAGUUUGAACGAAAGGUCGACAUAUUUAUACCAAACAGGAAGUUAAAUCCUUAUAUUUAGUUUCUUUAUAUAUAAUUAAGUAAACUAAUAUUUUUACAAACUUUUAACAUCAAAACACUGAUAAU